rnacentral:sRNA from 1 species
GCCAGGUGCGGUGGCUCACACCUGUAAUCCCAGUGGCUUUGGGAGGCUGAGGCAGGAGGAUCAAGGGUUCGAAGCCAGCCUCAGCAAUGGUGAGGCACUAAGCAACUCAGUGAGACCCUGUCUCUA